UACGUAGGGGGCAAGCGUUGUCCGGAUUUAUUGGGCGUAAAGAGCGUGUAGGCGGCUUUGCAAGUCCGUUGUGAAAACUCGAGGCUCAACCUCGAGACGCCGGUGGAAACUGCAAAGCUAGAGUCCGGAAGAGGAGAGUGGAAUUCCUGGUGUAGCGGUGAAAUGCGCAGAUAUCAGGAAGAACACCUAUGGCGAAGGCAGCUCGCUGGGACGGUACUGACGCUGAGGCGCGAAAGCGUGGGGAGCGAACAGG
rnacentral:rRNA from 1 species